UCAAAAGGCAAAAGAGAGGAAAGCUUAACCUGGAGCAAGAUAUUGGACAACAACUCAACUAAAAACCAAGGUAAAAUACUUCAGCAACGUGAAAGAAUGUUUAGAAGAAUAAAGUUUUGUCAUUAAACCAUACAAGACAAAAGAAGGAGCAGAUUUGAAGCUCAUAGCUACUGCCACACCUCGGCUUAUACAGAUUGAUCGAAAGAAGUUGUACGGACUGCUCGAAGUGAUACGCUUUGUAUUUCGGCACGAGUAUUAGACAGCAAUUGGCACAAGGGAGGAUUUCAUUAAUUAGAGUACACGAGUUGGCAGUUCCUGGUGAACCCCACAUUGCUUCGCGAGGGCAAGGAGUUACCUAUUUGCUAUUGUCUCUUUUCUUUUGAACUCUUAGAAUCGCUCCAUGGUCAUUUUUAUUAGCGUCACGAGUAUUCAUUCAUUAUUCUAAACUAGUGACUAGUAUUAUACUUUCUUUUCGUAUUUUUGAGAUGGAUUUAGUGUAUCCUACUGGUUCGGAAUUAAUGUGAUAUUCUACUCCAAUCUCCUUGGGUUGCAAGGGUGUUAUCUCUUUA